UACGGGGAGGUCAAGCGUUAUCCGGAUUCACUGGGUUUAAAGGGUGCGUAGGCGGAUAUGUAAGUCCGUGGUGAAAUCUCUGGGCUUAACCCGGAAACUGCCAUGGAUACUAUGUGUCUUGAAUGUUGUUGAGGUGAGCGGAAUAUGUCAUGUAGCGGUGAAAUGCUUAGAUAUGACAUAGAACACCAAUUGCGAAGGCAGCUCGCUAACACAUAUAUUGACUCUGAGGCACGAAAGCGUGGGGAUCAAACAGG
rnacentral:rRNA from 1 species